AAAAAAAACUGGUGGAAUUUCUUCCGAGCUGUCGUGAUUUGCCCCCACCCUUGCCUUAUGUACUAACAGUGGUAAACUCGAAUUUCCGAACCGCCACCGUCAGCUAUAAACACCGAAACCGCACCGCUUGGCGGGCUUACUCUUUUUCGUCCGGUCCAGAGCUUCGCUGAGGGUGUUGCGUGUGUUCGAGGGCGAGGGUCUCAGAGAGAGAGAGAGAGGGGGUUGGCAUAGGCAUUGGCAUUGAAAUGAGGUACCGGAGGUUCGCGCAGAUUUCGACGAGCGACGACGACGAGGAGGCGCCGCCGAGAAAGCAGCAGCCACAGUCCUUGAACUCUGAAGAUGAGAGCCAGCCGCGGCGGAAGCGCCUGAAGCGCCUGAAGCUCGCGGAGGAGGAAGAGGAGCCGAAGGAGAAGAAGCGCCAGCAGAAGAAGAGGAAGAAGGGGAGGGAAGCGUCGGAGGACGAAGAGGAAGCAGAGGAGGAGGAGCCGCAGCAGGAGGACGCCAAGCCGAUUGGCGAGCCGGCGAGGUUCUCCGGGAAAGGGAGAGGCCGGAGGAGCCACUACGAGGCGUUCGAGUUCGACAACAACCGAUACGAUCUGGAGGAUCCUGUACUUCUAGUUCCUGAGGAUAAGCAACAGAAGCCUUACGUUGCAAUAAUUAAGGAUAUUACUCAGACCAAAGAUGGGAGCAUGAUGGUAACUGGACAGUGGUUUUAUCGCCCUGAAGAGGCUGAGAAAAAAGGUGGUGGAAGCUGGCAAUCAAGUGAUACAAGGGAGCUGUUUUACAGUUUCCAUCGUGAUGAGGUCCCAGCAGAAUCUGUGAUGCACAAGUGUGUGGUGCAUUUUGUUCCCAUACACAAGCAGCUUCCAAAUCGUAAACAGCAUCCUGGUUUUAUUGUACAAAAAGUGUAUGACACUGUUGCACGGAAACUGUGGAAACUGACUGAUACAGACUAUGAAGAUAAUAAGCAGCAUGAGAUUGAUCUUCUUGUUCAGAAAACUCUAUCACGUUUAGUGGAUCUUCCUGACAUUGAAACUGAAGAUACCGCUGCUGAUCAAGAAGAUCAGCUUAAGAGUAAACGAGCUUUAAGGAGAAAGAACAUUUCACCUCUUGAUGUUUCAAGGGAGGAAGAAGCAACAGCAAGGUCUGAUCAGCAUCUAAAAUCUGACACACCUGGAAGCUGUAUAACUAAUAACUCAGAAUACCGCUGUAUUUUAGCCAAUUUCAAGGCAUUGACUGGAGAGAACCAUCGUGAUAUAUGCCUAGAGGCACUUCUUAAAGGAAUUCAAUACAUGUGCAAUUCUGUCGACAGCAUGGAUGGAGAUGACAAAGAAAAAGUUAGUUCUGAUGGCAUUGGCAAUGAAAGAGAGAAUAAGUGUCACGAAGCUGCAAAUGGAUCUCAAGAAAAGUCUUUUCUCUGGCCAGAUGCUGCUGUUCCAUCUGUAACUGCUCUUGAGAGGACCGCCCAUGAAAUGUUUUCCUCAGAUCUGAAGUAUAACCAAAAGAUGCGAUCAAUGGUGUUUAAUCUCAAGAACAAUGCAUUACUGGCCCGGCGUCUUCUAAAUGGAGAAUUGGAACCAUCGAAAAUACUGAACAUGUCACCGAAUGAGUUAAAGGAGGGUUUAACAACGGAGGAAACAGCAAGAACGGAGCCUGAUGAGUCAGAGCGCAUGCAGAUGACGGAUGCUCGUUGCUCAAGAUGCAGUGAGUUUAAAGUUGGUGUAAGAGACAUUAUCCAAGCAGGACAUGGAGAGCGCUAUCAGUUGGAGUGUAUUGCCUGCGGCCAUUCCUGGUAUGCCUCUAGGGAUGAGGCAUCCAAACUGACAAUAGAUGCAUCGAGUACCCAUGGAAGCGUCGGCACGGCCCCUUUGGCCACUGCCAAAUUUGAAGAUGUAGAGAAGAAGCUGGUGAGUCCCCGUGAAUCUGACAAGCCAGCCAAUGACGUUUACAAGAAAACAAGUGAAGCAUACAUGCCUGUCCUGGAUACACAGAAAUCACUUGGUAGGCCCAAAAAGGAUGAAAAAUCUGAAUCUCCUUGAAAUGCCUGAGUAGAAUAUGCCGGCCCUUGCAGUUUUGGGCCACAUACUUAGUAUUUUUGUCUUGAGAAAUUGCCCCCUUGUACAGUUAGAUUAUAGGUUACGAUGGUGCUGAGACCCCUUCUGUUUCCAGUUCUAUUCACGGUUUGCUGUUAGAAGUGGUUUCAUGAAAGAAAAUGCCGAUUGAAGACACUGAUCAAUUCAACGAGGAAUGCUACUCAUCACAUCCAUUUAUGACAUUCAUGUUAUAUCGGUUGAUGUGACGAGUUUUUAAGUGGCUUUUCCUGGCACUCAUAUAAAAGAAACAUGCAAAAUCAA